rfam:Bradyrhizobium sp. BTAi1, complete genome.
GGUCUGUGCAUCCACCGCCGAGCGGCCUAUAUAGGGGGUGCCGGCUUGCCGGCUAUGGAAAUAAAUCGCCGUCGAAAUAAACCAUUCGGACCCGGGGGCGGUACCCGGCGCCUCCACCAAAGUCCGCCUUGGAGACAUCUCGGAUGUCGGGCUUCGGCGGGGGCGAAAUAGGAUCGACGAGGGCGUAAAGGGCGAGCUUUUUCCCGGUAUUGUUCCGCCGUUAUCGGGCUACUGCAAUAGUUGCCAACGACAACUUUGCUCCGGUUGCUCAGGCUGCGUAACGCAGUUUGAAAGACCACCUUAAAGUCCUAACGGGUUAAGCUCCGUUAGGCGGGGUUCGGAGGCACCUGGCAACAGAAGCCUCCACU